rnacentral:rRNA from 1 species
AUUGAACGCUGGCGGCAGGCCUAACACAUGCAAGUCGAGCGGCAGCGGGAAAGUAGCUUGCUACUUUUGCCGGCGAGCGGCGGACGGGUGAGUAAUGCCUGGGAAAUUGCCCAGUCGAGGGGGAUAACAGUUGGAAACGACUGCUAAUACCGCAUACGCCCUACGGGGGAAAGCAGGGGACCUUCGGGCCUUGCGCGAUUGGAUAUGCCCAGGGGGGAUUAGCUAGUUGGUGAGGUAAUGGCUCACCAAGGCGACGAUCCCUAGCUGGUCUGAGAGGAUGAUCAGCCACACUGGAACUGAGACACGGUCCAGACUCCUACGGGAGGCAGCAGUGGGGAAUAUUGCACAAUGGGGGAAACCCUGAUGCAGCCAUGCCGCGUGUGUGAAGAAGGCCUUCGGGUUGUAAAGCACUUUCAGCGAGGAGGAAAGGUUGAUGCCUAAUACGUAUCAACUGUGACGUUACUCGCAGAAGAAGCACCGGCUAACUCCGUGCCAGCAGCCGCGGUAAUAC